UCGAGGUCAGCCUAGUCUACAAGAGCUAGUUCUAGGACAGGCUCCAAAGCUACAGAGAAACCCUGUCUCGAAAAAAACAAAACAAAAAACCCCACAAAACAACAACAACAAAAGGUUUAAGCUCUUUAGCUAUUGUAAUUACACAUAGUAUCAAAAAACUAACAAAUCAGAGAAGUUAUUUGUGAUGUUUGGCACUAGAUGGGUUCAUGUGAACCCAGAGUAAGCCCAGCUCCAGCAGAGGUGAACAGAACAGCAAGUACCUUGGGAAUCUGUCAGACUCAAGCCAGCAGACCGCAGUGUGAGUUGUGUCAGGACUCAUGAAGUGAGCACGAGGCUUGGGUUCCAUCCUUAGCACCUCAAAACAGAACAACCCCCCCCCCCCAAACAACAACAAAAACCCAAGGUGAAGGCCAAGCACAAUGUUUGUCGCCAUCAGCAGAGCGCACCAAUGGGCACCAAGUCGUAGCUGUUUACAUUGCUGGGCUGGGAGUCAUUUACAAAGGCUACUGGACAAGUGGAAGGCAGACUAUCUUUAAGUGGCUAAGGUCUCUAGAGACCCUUCCUUCCCCUCAGGAUCUUAGGACCCAAACAUGAGCACAGUCUCACAAUGACUUCCAGUGUCUGGAGCAGGCCACUGAGACACACGACGGUGGCUGUUUCGCCGAGGAAAGCCAAAGGGGGCCUUGGGGGUUGAGGCAACUAGGCAAACACCUUAAGGCCAACAGCAAAGGGGAUUGUUGGCGGGCACCCCCUACCAGGGGCACCUGCCACACCAGGCAGCCAGAGACCCAGUUGGCGUGACACAUAGGACUGGGGUUGCUUCUGGUGUCGUCUGGCCUGAUUCUAGGUGGGUCCCUUUCUGGAAGUUCAACCAGGAAUAUAUAGUUUGCAAAGUAUUUUACCCAUGGAAAUAAAUUAGAAAACAAAAAUAGUCUCAGGAUAUGGGAAACGGAGGUAGGAGGAUCAGGAACUCAAGGGCACCCGGACUAUACAGUGAGGCUGAGGUCAGCUCACACCAAAUGAAACGAAAACCUCCAAAAAGAAAAAAAAACAAAAUCCAGAGCUCCAAAGAUCAAGCCAAUGGUUGUGUUAUGUCCCAAAUUCACGGACUUACCCAUGUCUACACCAUGUCCCGUAGAAGCACCCGUGGGUACCCAGAGACAUUCGGCUACACAGAGGCAGAAGUGAGGAUGGAUGAGAUGUGGGGGAGAGGGGAGUAGAGACAAGGCAAAUUAAAAUUAAGAGAAAGAAUGCCAUUGAGAAUCCCCCUGAAUAUAAUUAGGAGACCCAAUAAUGGGUAAGUUUGGCUGAGUGGCUGGGGAAGCCCAAGGCACCAACUAACACUCCACAUGAAAAGACAAAGAUGUUGGUGGUGUGGAGCAGGGGAGGUGGCUGGGCAGGGGCUGACGGCUAUGGGGAGGGAGCUGCAGUGGUUGACGGUACCAUCUCCAGCAAGAGAAACACAAGUGUUUGCCAUAGUUGCCUUGUCUCCCCACAGCCAUCAUGCUCAACAGACAGAAACACCUCCUCAGCAGCCCGGCCACACGGGGCUAGUCUGCUUCUAUGGCCAGGGCAUUGUUUGGUCCACUGCUCCUGAAGAAUCCUGAGGGGAGUGUGACAACUUGCACCUCUUUGCUGGGAUCGGAGAGUCUCUCUCAGAGCGUUCCACCCCACUGGGACAAGACCCUCUCCGUGGUGCUGAAAUAGCCGUCCUGGGUGAUACUGUCUUUCUUCUGAUUGGCCCAGAAUCAGGUCCUUGAAGAAAAAGGCCAGCCCUCUGCUGAGAAAGGCCUGGGUUUUGUGAGGUACUGUCCUCUGAUGCUAACAGAGCCAGAUGGCGCCUCGGGAGGCUUCUAUUGGCUCUGACAGAUAUUUCGCUCAGGUCUUCAAAAGCCUCACUUGACCUCUUUGCCUUUUCUCUGUUGAAAAGUGAACUCAACCUGUGGGUUCUUACGCCCUGGGGGCUGCCCGGGCUUCUAGAACUACCUCUGUACACAUCUACAGCCCAGGACUCAGUGGGGCCAGUCUGGCAAAGCUGUUUCCCAGAAGACAGGCUACAUUCCUGAGCAAGUUUGUCAAAUUUCAUUUCAAUUUCCCCAGGGAGCAUCCUUGGUCUGGGAACUAUUUUACCAGGUGAAAUUAGCAACGGGAAUGCCUUCGCUCCAUUUUCUUGCUCGAGACAGUUCAGUGUGUUUAAGUCCAAACACUUCUGAGGAGUCCCGUGAAGCGCCUUCCAAGAUGGACUGCAUUUAUGGACUUGGAGUUUGCUUCCUUCGAGAGCUCCCCUUUCCAGUUUUAAGUCUGUCUUGGGGGGCACAAUGUACGGUAAGUUGGUGCAGUUUCUCAGUAUAGUGGCCUCUUUCCCUGGCUCUGAGCAGGACCCCUUCUUGGAGCUCCUUCGGGAGGGCUUGCUCCCGUAGCAGUAUGUCCUAUUCAAGUGUACCCCACUCUUUCGUGAGAGCCUCCUCCUGAGGUUCCAGUUCUGGUUGAUGUAGGUCUUGGUGGAGAUGAUGCACGAUGGCUUUAGGCUCAGCAGCCUACUCAUCGAAUGGAUCAUGCCUUCAUACAUAUCACUGACUGUCACAUUGCAAAUGUCAUCAGCCUCAAGGGACUGGUUGCUUAAAUUGUUGCUGCUGGUCUCUAGUAAGGAGAAGCUGUCAUUUCUAGGUAUAAUGGUCACAUCAGCUGAAGUUGACUCUUUUGGGCUACUAAAGCUGUCUGUAGAGAUACUAUCCUGGCAUCCUGGGAGAAAAAUAUACAAAGUCAGGGUAAACCAUGGCUCAACUUGCCCGUACUUAGAGAAGGUCGGGGAGCUCAAGAGGGAUCACAAUCACAUGGUUUAAAAUAUCACGAAGUAACCCUGAGGAUGUUAAGGAUGUUAAAGGGAGACUUUAUUUUAGCAACCAAAAUUAGAUUUUGACUUUUCACCCCAGUUUUGCAAGAGGAGCCUUCUCCCCCUCACACUGAUUAUAGAUGGCUGUCAACUCAAAGGCCAAUACAAUACACACACGGAUUAAAAACUUUAAAAAAUGAAUUAGAAAGGAAAAUUCUAUAAACAUAAGCAUAUUCAACCAAAAAAGCCAACACAGGGGCCUGGAGAGAUGGCUCAGGGGUUAAGAGCACUGGCUGCUCUUCCAGAGGACCAGAGUUUGGUUCCCAGCACCUGCAGUGGGCAACAAACAAAUGCCUGUGGCUCCAGCGCCAGGGGAAUCUGGACUCUGGUCUGUAGCACCUCAACACACACAUGCACAUGUGGAACAAAAAGCCAGUAAGUGACCCCAAACUCCUGAGCUCUACAGGGAUGGCUGGGAAGACACGUUCCUGUGCAAGGUGCAGCUUUGACUGCUGCAUUACAUGACGAUUUCACGGGUUUUAAGAGGUAAAAUCUAUCCUACGGAAACGGGAGAAGCCCAGCUGGGCACUCAAGACAGGUGGACAGCAUGGAAAACAGCAGCGGUGGCACUCGGGGGCUGCUAAAUGCAACGGAGCCGUCGGAGUGGGUCCACGGUCAAAAUAACAAGAAUGGCUGCAAAGGACACACUGUGCCUCAAUUGGUAAAAUUAUAUCAUGCCAAUGAGAAGUUUCUGGCACAUUCUAAACUUGCUAUAGUCACGGAGAAUCACCUGGUUCCUGGAAAGAACAUGUGAAGCAUUUAGGGGUGCUACAAAUAUGAGCUAAGUAAAUAUAGAGUGCUCAUGUCCAUACAUAAGUGCCAGGGAGGGUCAGUGAAGGAAUGAUGAUCAGUGUAACCUGUGUCACACAAGAUGGACGGCCACUGGUUACCCCUGUGCUGCUAGACUCAAAAUGUUCACACCGAGGGCAAAGAGCUAUAAAACACCUGGUAUCAUGACACAGAGGGGAAACCAGCUCACUAUAAAAAUUUGCAGGAUAGCCUGGGCUACAGUGAGACUCUACCGAAGUAGUCUUUAUGUUCUAGGAUAUGCACACGUCACUAAGUUUAUGUUGCUGAGACACACCCCACAUUGAACACUCACCAUAGGUGGUGCCAAGGGCCCCAAGUCUCCACAGAUAAAAGUUCAUGUAAAAUCACUCCCUCAUACUCACCAGGUUCUGGUGUGACAGGUGAGGAAGGAACCCAAGUCAUGAGUGUGUCUUUUCCGUCUCUCUUCUCGCCGUUCUGAAAUCAGAGCCAAUGAUGGUAAGAGUUUGGGAUGUUAAGACCUUGGACUUAUGGAACUGGGUUCGUCCUAAAAAUAACAUGGCAGUGUAUCUGUAACAUGACAGUGGCCAGAGGGAAGGGGUGUUCCUAAACAUUUGAGAACUCUGUCCUCAAGGACACAGCCACAUUUCUGGCAGCUACUCCCUGGCCGACCAUCGAUGGCUCUUGUGUGGUGAUCGGAAAAGACAAUGGCCCCCAAUGGAGUGACACUACGAGGAAGCAGGGCUUUGCUGGGGAAAGUGUGUCACUGUGGAGGUGUGGGCUUUGAGGGUUCAUGUGUGCUCAAGCCACGCCCAGUGAGACACUCCACUUCCUGUUGCUGCACAUCCACACGUAGCAGCCCCUUCUCCAGCACCAUGUCUGCCUGCCUGCCACUGUGUUCGACAUGAGGAUAACGAACUGAACUCCCGAAACUCGAAGCCACCACCUCAAUUAAAUGUUUUCCUUUGUAA